AACUUAAGCAUAUCAAUAAGCGGAGGAAAAGAAACUAACAAGGAUUCCCCUAGUAACUGCGAGUGAAGCGGGAAAAGCUCAAAUUUAAAAUCUGGUGGCUUCGCCGCCCGAGUUGUAAUCUGGAGAAGUGCUUUCCGUGCUGGACCGUGUACAAGUCUCUUGGAACAGAGCGUCAUAGAGGGUGAGAAUCCCGUCUUUGACACGGACUACCAGUGCUUUGUGAUGCGCUCUCAAAGAGUCGAGUUGUUUGGGAAUGCAGCUCAAAAUGGGUGGUAAAUUCCAUCUAAAGCUAAAUAUUGGCGAGAGACCGAUAGCGAACAAGUACCGUGAGGGAAAGAUGAAAAGAACUUUGGAAAGAGAGUUAAACAGUACGUGAAAUUGCUGAAAGGGAAACACUUGAAGUCAGUCGCGUCGGCCAGGACUCAACCUUGCUCUGGCAUGGUGUAUUUUCUGGUUGACGGGUCAGCAUCAGUUUUGAUUGUCGGACAAUGGUCAAGGGAAUGUGGCAUCCUCGGAUGUGUUAUAGCCUUUGGUCGCAUGCGAUGGUCGGGACUGAGGAUCUUGGCACCUUGUGCUUGGGAUGCUGGCAUAAUGGCUUUAAAUGACCCGUCUUGAAACACGGACCAAGGAGUCUAACGUGCAUGCGAGUGUUUGGGUGGUAAACCCGAGCGCGUAAUGAAAGUGAAAGUUGAGACCCCUGUCGUGGGGGGCAUCGACGCCCGGACCAGACCUUCUGUGACGGCCCUGCGGUAGAGCAUGUAUGUUGGGACCCGAAAGAUGGUGAACUAUGCCUGAAUAGGGUGAAGCCAGAGGAAACUCUGGUGGAGGCUCGUAGCGAUUCUGACGUGCAAAUCGAUCGUCAAAUUUGGGUAUAGGGGCGAAAGACUAAUCGAACCAUCUAGUAGCUGGUUCCUGCCGAA
rnacentral:rRNA from 1 species